CAUAGCGGCUUCUACACCAGCUUUUCUUCGUGGAUGCCAGCAUACGGGGUGUAGCUUUCGUUCUUAUAAACCCCAGCAAUCCUCAGCUGCUUUCAUCACCUUUUAGAGCUAUUGAAUUGGGAGCUAUUGGGAAUGGUUACAGUAGCUUUUACAUUGCUCCAACUUGUAACUGGACUGGCCCAGAACAAAGUAGCUCCAGGACUGGAGGAGCAAACCAUCUGUUUCAAUGCAUUGUGAUAAUAAAGUCCAUUAUCCUCCAUGAUUUUCUGCUGUUUGUUCUGCCUGGGGCUGAGAGUGGGGGCCCGGAGCUCUCACUGUCAAAAUUGCAGUGGAGGCCUAAUAUUGCAGAAUCCGCAAAAUCACUAGGAAAACACUAUGCAUGUGUUGUGAGGGGCACAGGCUGCACCUUGACAUUCAUAUUGUGGACGUUGUGGCAGACUACCUUCUAAAAUUGGUGUCAGAUCAACUCUAUGCCUCUAUUCCUGGAGAGUGUUUGGCCAAGUACUACCUCCUGUGGGUAGCACAGCUCAAGAUGGAUGCUAAGAAGUGGGGGCUUCAAGUCUUGUUCUACAGAAAGGAGAUCCAGCUGAGUCCCAGACAGUUCUCCUCUCCUUUCUCAUUUAGUGGAGCCCCAUUGGAAGUACAGAUUAUAAGAGACAGGAAGGAAACAUGGAAAGGCAUUAGGAGAUGUGACACAAAGGCCCAUUUGUGGUUCUCCACUAUGGUCAUGUUUACCAUAAGUUAAGUCGACAUUAUGUAAGUCGCCAACAAGCCUCUGAUUUAAGCAA